rnacentral:rRNA from 1 species
UGCUCCCUACGGGGCGCAGCAGUCGGGAAUAUUGCGCAAUGGAGGAAACUCUGACGCAGUGACGCCGCGUAUAGGACGAAGGUCUUCGGAUUGUAAACUAUUGUCGUUAGGGAAGAGAAAGGACAGUACCUAAGGAGGAAGCUCCGGCUAACUACGUGCCAGCAGCCGCGGUAAUAUGUAGGGGGCAAGCGUUAUCCGGAUUUACUGGGUGUAAAGGGAGCGUAGGCGGCGAUGCAAGUCAGAAGUGAAAGCCCGGGGCUCAACUCCGGGACUGCUUUUGAAACUGUAUGGCUAGAUUGCAGGAG